UACCAGCACCCCGAGUUGUCGGGACGAUUAUUGGGCCUAAAGCAUCCGUAGCCGGUCAUGCAAGUCCUCCGUUAAAUCCACCUGCUUAACAGAUGGGCUGCGGAGGAUACUACAAGGCUAGGAGGCGGAAGAGGCAAGCGGUACUCAGUGGGUAGGGGUAAAAUCCUCUGAUCCAUUGAAGACCACCAGUGGCGAAGGCGGCUUGCCAAUACGCGCUCGACGGUGAGGGAUGAAAGCUGGGGGAGCAAACCGG
rnacentral:rRNA from 1 species